AGAGCUAGGAAAAGGCUGCCGAGUGAAUAAUUUGACUUAUGCUUAUGAAUCAUAGUGAGAUCAUAUCAAAAUCACGAGAGAAAUUAUAAGUUGAAGGAAUCACUGGGCUCUACCAGAAAUAUGAUGACACAGAGACUGGGAGGGGUCAGGUCACUUGUCCAAGGUCACUCCCUGUUGGAAUUAGAGCUGUGAUCAAAUCCAUAUUGUAGCACACUUUGGAGGCCCGGCUCAGUGGGUGCAGCCACUUAGUGCGGCUCCGACCGCGCAUCCAGAGUGUGCGCCCUGCGGCCCUGAGAAGAAGAACUGAAUUUGAGCUUCAGUUUCCUGCUGAAAGAACUAGGGAGGCCAGGGAUUAUGGAAGUUACCCCUGGCCAUCCACCAUCAAGUAUGUGAAGGAAGCAGAGGUUCCCACCUCUGAGGUCAGACACAUGGACAGCGAGUGCAGAUGUUGCCAGGAAAAGCCUCCUGGGCCCCUUGUGUUGUGCAGCCGGGUGGCUGGGUGGCCAGGCCAGAGGUCCCUCGGGACUUCACUCUGUGAAAUUCCAGACAGCAGUAAAUAAACAAGUGCUUUACAAGUGAGUCCCGUGGGCUGCUGGUCUUUCCCUGCACUUCCGUCUGACCUGCCACAGCCCUGGAGGGGUCGGAUAUUUCUACACAUACUCAGGGCCACCCACUUCCUGGCAGUGUCCCUCUGACAGCCCUUGCCGCUGCCCCCACCUUCCUUUGUCUGCCCCCCACACCCAGCCUUUCCUUGGUCACAGUUUGUCCUUUUGUUCCCUGUGCUUGACAGCAACGUGGUCAAAUAGGGUACAAGCUCCUAGCAUCCCAUUCAUUUGAGCUUUUAACCUCGCUUUUAAUAAAACAAUGCAUGCAUAUAAUUAGUCAAACAAUCCUU